CAGGGCUGUGUUGAAACCCUGGUUCUCGUACGAUCACCGAAGUUAAACAAUGUCGAACCUGGUCAGUGCCUUAGACGGGUGACCGCUUGGAAAUAGCAGGUGCUGUAAG